UACGUAGGGUGCGAGCGUUGUCCGGAUUUAUUGGGCGUAAAGAGCUCGUAGGCGGUUUGUCGCGUCGGCCGUGAAAUCUCCACGCUUAACGUGGAGCGUGCGGUCGAUACGGGCAGACUUGGAGUUCGGUAGGGAGACUGGAAUUCCCGGUGUAGUGGUGGAAUGCGUAGAGUAUCGGGAGGAACACCAGUGGCGAAGGCGGCUUCCUGGACCUGUUCUGACACGUGAGGAGCGAAAGGCGUGGGGAGCGAGUCCGG
rnacentral:rRNA from 1 species